rnacentral:rRNA from 1 species
GAGACAGCAGCCGCCGCGGUAAUACAGAGGGUGCGAGCGUUAAUCGGAUUUACUGGGCGUAAAGCGUGCGUAGGCGGAUAAUUGAGUCGGAUGUGAAAUCCCCGAGCUUAACUUGGGAAUUGCAUUCGAUACUGGUUAGCUAGAGUGUGGGAGAGGAUGGUAGAAUUCCAGGUGUAGCGGUGAAAUGCGUAGAGAUCUGGAGGAAUACCGAUGGCGAAGGCAGCCAUCUGGCCUAACACUGACGCUGAGGUACGAAAGCAUGGGGAGCAAACAGGAUUAGAUACCCCAGUAGUCCCUGUCUCUUAUAC